GCCACAACCUCGGGAGAUCCAAACGUGCUUCAUAGCCAAUGAAGUGCUUUGGAACACAGUAGCUGUGGCAGCCAAUUUAUGCACAGCAAAUCCCACAGACAAGCAAUGAGACCAUGAACAAAUUGUCCAUUUUGUUAACGUUGGUUGAGGGAUUAAAUAUUGGCGAGGCCACAAAGGAGAGAUCCUGUACAUGGGCAGUCCCAGGGUUGUGAAUGGAUUCUGUUCUGGAGUCUGUCCGCAAGUCAGAACACAGCACAGGACAAUGUGAAGCAGCUGUUUAUGCUGUUCCAGCUGUUACAUUAGGCUGGAUUAGGAUAUCGUGGAGGCAAAAGAUCCAAUUUCUAUGCGAGAACAGGAACUGUACCAGUACGGAGGUUAGGUACGAGAGGUCGCUGAGUGGUCUCAAGAUAAAGAAAUCAACCGAUGAUGCAGGAGGGCAGCAGUGGACUCUGCACUGGAGUGAGAUGCUUAAAACGGAGACUUUUUAAAAAACAAUUGCUUCAAGCUCUCUGAUGCUGUGAAAUAUUAAUCUGCGAUCAUCAUCAUCCUCAUCAAGAAUGCCAUAAACAUUUCAUUAUCUUGCCUUGGGAAUCGAUAAACACAUUACAGCAUUUAUAUCAGGAGCAAGCAGAUAUUUGUCCAGAAAUGGCUGGCAUCCUGGCUACCCUCUGGGAACACAACGGUUAUAAGCAACAAUCAUUUGGCACUUAAACAGAAGGUUUCUAAGACUCUGGUUAGGUUGCAGACUGGUAGCUGGAACCAGUUCUGUUUAAAUCAAAAAAGACAACUCACUAAACAUGGGAAAGUGUCACACAUUCAUUAUCUUAGACCAUUGUGAAAAUACUGUUGAAAUAAAUCCAAAGAAACCCCAUAAAUGUACACCAGACAUCCCAAAGUGCUUUUACAGCCAAUGAAGCUACAGGAAAAUAGGAACAGGAGUAGGCCAUUCAGCCCCUCCAGUCUGUUCCACCAUUCAAAGAGAUCAUGGCUGAUUUGUGAUCUAAUUCCAUACACUUGCCUUUAGCAAGAACAAGGGGUCGCAGGACUUGAAAUGUUAACUCUGCUUUCUCUCUCCUCAGAUGCUGCCAAACUUACUGAGUUUCUCCAGCAAUUUCUGUUUUUGUUAAUUGGGAGCACUCCCCUGUUCUUCUUUAAAACAGUGAUGAGGGUCUUUCACACCCACCAGGCAUUUAGAGUCAGAGCAUUUUCAAGCGUGGAAACAGGCCCUUCAGCCCAUCGAGUCUGCACCAAGCCCAGCACCGACCCAGUCUGAAAUGAAACAGAGAGCUGUGCACAAUGGAGAUCUGAAACAAAAAACAGAAAUUGCCGGUGAAUCUCAGCAGGUCUUGCAGUGUCUGUGGGGAGAAAGCAAGGUAACAUUCCAAGUCCAGUGACUCUUCAUCAGAACUGAGCAGCUGGGUAUUUUUACUGAAGACAAGAUUGGGGAAUGGGGAAAAGGUGAGUGGAUAGGUAGAGACGGAACCCAGAGACAGAAAGAGUGAGCUAGAAAGGGUAGGCAGCCAAGAGGGUUAUUGACGGGAGGCCAGUCUUAACGACAGCUGAGGGGAGGAGAGAAAGGGUGGGCUGUGUUGAAAGCAAGUCUUGAGAUAACAGAAACAGGGUGAGGGAGUGAGUUAAAACCACGGAAGGAUGAAAUUAAGCUCAAAAAUUGUUGGACUCGAUAUUGGAUCCAGGGGGCUGCAGGGUUCCUAAGUGGAAAAUGAGGUGUUGUUCUUCCAGUUUGUGCUGAGCUUCACUGGAGCGAGCCUGAGGCAGAGAUGUUGGCCAGGGAACAGGGUGAUGGGUAACUGGGAGCUCAGGGUCAUUUCUGUGGACAGAAUGCAGAGCGGUCCCCCAGUCUACCCUUCAUUUCCCCAGUGUAGAGGAGACCACAUUGUGAGCAGCGAAUGCAGUAGACUAGAUUGAGUGAAGUGCAGGUUAGGUGCUGCUUCACCUGGAAGGUGAAUCUGAGGCCUUGGGUACUGAGGAGGGACAAAGUCAACAAGCUGGUGUUACACCUUCAGUGGCUGCAGGGUAAGGUGCCGUGGGGCUGUGGGGAGGUGUUAGGGAUGGAGGAGGAGUGCGCUAGAGUACCCCAGAAGGAAUGGUCCUUGCGGGAGGCUGACAAGGAAGGGAAGGGAAUAUGUGUCUGGGGUGAUGGUAUCUCACUGGGGAUGGUGGGAGUGACAGCUUACAGCUCUCUGGAUGGGGAGGCUGGUGAGUUGGUGGAUGAAGACAAGAGGAACUCUCUCGCUACAGUGGGAGGGAAGGGAAGGGACGAGGGUGGAAGUGCAGGAGAUGGUUCAGAUACAGCUGGAGGGCUCAUUCGAUCAUGGUCAGGGGGGAUUGUCAGUUGAGGAAAAAGGUGGCCAUUUCUGAGGCCUUCCCCCCACCCCCCCCGUAGAAAGAGGCAUUAUCAGAACAGACUACGCUAUCUCCUCCAGUCCCAUAAUCCAACACUUGGCCCGUAGCUUUAUAUGCUGUAGUCAUUCAAAUGUUUAUCUGAAUAAUUGUUAAAUGUAGUGAUGGCUCCCAUCUCUCCCACACUUAUAGGUAGUGAGGGCUAGAUACUGGUGAAAAAAUCCUUCUGUAAACCCUUCUAAGUGUCCUGCCUUUUACCUUCAAUCUGUGACACUUGUGUAUUGACUCCUCUACAAAGGGAAAAGCUUUCUUCCUCUCUAAGCCCGGUCUGUCUAAUGCAUGUUAUUUAAAAUCUCAUCUGAAAUUCAGCACCUACAACCGUGCGGCACUGCCUCAGUACUGCACUCUGAAUGCUGCACUGGUCAGCCGAGGGAUUUGAC